GGAAAAUCCAAUCAGCUCCGAUCCUUUGAUACCCAAAAUAAAUUAUUUUCUCUCAUAAUUUCAACGCAAACUCCUCAGUAAAUCAGUGAGACCCAAUUUCAUCAUCAAUCUGCCCCACCAAGAUCCCUAAAAAUACACUUAUCGAUCCAAUCUUCAUGUCGUCGAAAAAGUCGCAAUCGCCAUCGCCGCCUAGGGAUUUUUUUUAUAUUGGAGGGAGAAAUCUCCAGAGACGACACAUCACUAAUGAUAACCAAUGCAAAGGUGUUGUGCAGCCAUAGAGACGGAUGAACAUUUAUUCUUUGACUGUCCCUAUGUGCAAAUGAUAUGGAGAGGAUCGGGCGUGUCAAGUACGGUGAUCAAUAACACACAUACAACUUUUGAGGAAAAGCUGGAAACAUCUAUAGAGGGUUCUACUUCAAGAGCUUUGGCGCACAUACAUGAUUUACCCAUCUCAUUCUGUGGCGUAUUUGGAAGAGUCUUAAUAUACUUAUCUUUCAACAUAAACAUAUUCCGUGGAGAAUCAUUAUCAAACAGGCAAAAGAAGAUUCACAAGAAUGAAAGGAAUUUGGAGUAAGAAAAGAUACAAGAAGAUUUAAUUCGAUUCAGCAGAUAGAAGGAGGACGAUGGCAAAAACCGCCAUCAGAUUGGUUAAAGUGUAAUGUGGAUGGUUUUUAUCAGAAUCAAAACAUUCAAAGUAAAGGAGGAUGGAUUCUUCGAGAUUGGAAUGGUGCAUACAUGGGAGCGGGUCAAACAAUAGGAUACAAAGUUAAUAAUGCAAUGGAAAGUGAACUACAAGCAUUAUUGAUGGCCAAUGGCCAUGCAGCACUGCUGGAGUCGAGGGUAUAGCUAGGAAGGUGAUAUUUGAAAGUGAUUGCAAGAAAGCAAUAAAUAUAUUUAAUAACCGAGCUUUUCAUUUUGAUCCUUACAAUUGGAUUCGAGAAAUGAACUGGUGGAGACAACAAUUUACUGAAGUGAAGUUCAAUUGGAUAGAAAGACAAGGGAACAAAGUAGCCGACUCAUUGGCGAAACAAGAUUUUCAAACGCAUGAAAAUUUUGUUUUUCAUUAUUAUGUUCCUAGAUGUAUAUCAUCAUUACUCCAUCAUGACUAUGUAUUUUCAAAUUAAUCAAUAAGAGAAUGAAUUUAUAAAAAAAUAAAAAAAUAAAGUAUAUAGAUUAUAAAAAUCAUGUUUAAAAAUAGAAUUAAUUUUUUUUUCUAUAUAUGUUUAAACAUAGAAUUAUAUUAUUUUGUGCUUAUUUUUAUUUUAAAAUAAGCCUGUGUAUUAUGGUAAUGAUAUUUUAUAUUUUAUUAUUUCCAGAAUAAAUAUUA